CUCCUACGGGAGGCAGCAGUGAGGAAUAUUGGUCAAUGGACGGAAGUCUGAACCAGCCAUGCCGCGUGCAGGAAGACGGCUCUAUGAGUUGUAAACUGCUUUUGUACGAGGGUAAACGCAGAUACGUGUAUCUGCCUGAAAGUAUCGUACGAAUAAGGAUCGGCUAACUCCGUGCCAGCAGCCGCGGUAAUACGGAGGAUCCAAGCGUUAUCCGGAUUUAUUGGGUUUAAAGGGUGCGUAGGCGGUUUAGUAAGUCAGCGGUGAAAUUUUGGUGCUUAACACCAAACGUGCCGUUGAUACUGCUGGGCUAGAGAGUAGUUGCGGUAGGCGGAAUGUAUGGUGUAGCGGUGAAAUGCUUAGAGAUCAUACAGAACACCGAUUGCGAAGGCAGCUUACCAAACUAUAUCUGACGUUGAGGCACGAAAGCGUGGGGAGCAAACAGGAUUAGAUACCCUGGUAGUCC
rnacentral:rRNA from 1 species